rnacentral:lncRNA from 1 species
CGGCACGUCCGUCACUCCACCGUCGUGCCGCGUUAAAUCAAAGCCGAUAGUCAUAACCUCCAGCGCUACAGCAACCGCGGAAGCUCGCUCUACAUGGACAGAACAACAAAGACCUUCCUAUCUUAACAUGAACUCUUCUUCUCACUCUUCUCCAGCAUCACUUUACCAGAUUCUCGGUAUAUCAGCAGGUGCUUCCAAUCAAGAAAUAAAGGCGGCAUACCGGCGACUUGCAAGAGUCUGCCAUCCUGAUGUUGCGGCAAUUGAUCGGAAAAACUCAUCGGCGGAUGAUUUCAUGAAGAUUCACUCUGCAUAUUCCACGCUUUCGGAUCCAGAUAAACGUGCUAAUUAUGAUCGGAGUCUUUUCCGGCAACAACUACGGCCGUUGUCAACGAUGGUGUCUUCUGGAUACUCAAGUCGAAAAUGGGAAACGGAUCAGUGUUGGUAGUAAAUUGACUAACAGAUGAGGGAAGUGCAGUUAUUAACGAAGCAUCAUGCCUCAAGUGUAAAUUAUUAACUAAUUACUAAUUAGGGAUAGUAACUACUAUAGUAAUUAGUUCUUUUCACUCAAACCAAACCAUUAGUGAUUAGUUAGCUUUCAGAUUUUGUAUAUUACAAAGUAAAGUAGUAGUAUCUGAAAAAGUGUAUUCUGGGAAGUGUUUCCCCUACAAUACAAGAGAAAUUACUGACCAAUUAUUCUUCUAGUGUAUCUUACUAUAACAAAAAUUAAUCUGUCUGAUCCAAGUUUUAAACAUCAUACAUCAAUUUUUGUUACGUUGAUCUAAUUUUCCCUUGUACGUAGAACCAUAAUUAUUCUUCUAGUCUCUCUCUGCUAUGAAGACAGAGAGCUAGCUCCUCACAUAACUUCAAAUUCGAUCUUUUAUGAAAGAACCAAUCAUCUUAACAUAGAAACUCCAACGUAACUUGGUCUCAUGAAACGGCUUCCUACCAAUUGUUCAACAACAAAUUGUUGAUCUCUUCAUUAAAGCUGUGCAACAUGGAUGCUUCUCUAGACUUCUUACCAAGCUUAGCUUGAGGAAGGGUGUGGAGGUAUUUUAGAGACGUAAAUAGUUAGUUAAGGUAUAUUAUUUGUCUCUAGACUUCAAUGUGUUGAAUCCACAAUUUUUAAAAUAAGAUUUUACUUUAAACCUUAACAUUUCACUAAAGAUAAUAGUCUUUUGUGAGUAUAACUGAUUUGGUAUGAACAUUGCAUAAUGUGUUGAUUGUGAUUCGAACCACUCUAAUUUAGUGAUUAGACUAUUUGAUAAAAAAAAAAAUAAAGAUAACGUAUUCUACUCACUCUCACUCACAUUUUCAGCCUAAUUUUAUAUAUAAUUUCUAGUUUCUAUAAAUCUUCUUCUAGAUACUUUUUGCAUUACAGCACAAUACUCCUUUUUUUUAAGGGUCAAUGCUCAAAUGUAUGGAUGUACAUCUACGUACUCGUACAUCUAAACAAUUAUUUUCCUCCGCAAAUUUCUAUUUCAUAUUAUAAUAUUAAUAAUACUUAUAAAGAUGUCAAACGUAUAUCUUCUUCUAUAAUUUCAUUGGUUGAGGGAUGGAUUGUGGUGGAGAUAAAAUUUCAGUUAAAUUGACACAAUUUAGUUGUUCAAAUUAAGACGCAAAACAUUCCACCACAACGUGACGCUGAAAUGCACCUCUGGCUCUAGAAGAUAAGAAUUAUUCAGUGUAGUGGAAUUUUAGAAACAACUUUUGUCAUCGAUCAAGACUAAUGGACAGGGACUGGGGCAAAUUAACGACUUCAAAAUUCACAAUUAGAUAAGCACAUACGAGGCAAUUGGAACAGUAAAAAUAUUGUUUUAUACAAUGACGUUGAUUUGUGCUAUUGAUAUCACCUCUCCUAUUGUAUACUAAUGAUGUCACAAUCCUAAACAUAUAGUUUUUGCCAAAUUUUGAACUGUAUAUUUCAGCAGCCGGUUUGUCUGAUAUGGAUAGCAAAAUUCUCUUUGAAAGACAUACCAUUAUUGCAUUUUCAUUACAUACUAGGAAAUUAAAUAUAGGUGCAUGGACUUGGGAAAAAGAAUUAGAAAUAAAGGGUUCUAGAAACUUAAAUGAAAAUAUAAUCUAGAAACAAAGUCUUUAAUUUAAUCGCCAAUGCAUCACCUUACAUGUUUAUUUAUCAUUUAGUUUUAUUUUUUGUUGUUAAAUCUUAAGUUUUUGUGUUUAUUUAUGAUUGAGAGUUUAAUUAGUAUUUAUUUCUAACCAACUUUUUUUUUUAUAAAAUUGUAACUUAUAGAAGGAGGGGUCCAGGAUCAACUAAUUUUAGGAGUAAUGUGACUUUUGAUAUAGUUACUCAACUUUCUAGUAUACUAGUAGUUAACCAAAGUCAAGUUCAUAAAAAAAAAAUAUAUAUAUCAUUUAUUCUUUUGAUAUGUUUAUUCUUUUGAAAUUUGUGAAUAGUAAAGAAAUAACAUGGUUUUGAAUGUCAUCGGAUUAUUUGGUCCUUAUGUUAGAAGUUAUAUAAUUGAGGGACUAAUUUGUUAGUAAAGGAUUAAUUUGACAACGGGUUACAACUAGGUUAAUAAAAAUACCUAGUUGUUUAACACAAUUCAAAACUACUCCAUCCGUUUUAUAAUUAUUGUCUCUUUAGCAAUUUUUCUUUUUCUCAAAAUAAUUGUCACUUUACAAUAUCAAUGUAGUAUUUAUUAUUUUUUUUCCACUAUUAUACCCUUAUUUAUUGAAUUUCAUCCAACUUAACCACUCCACUAACUACAAUUAAUAAGGGUGUUUUGGUAAAUGCAACUAAUUUUACCAUUGAAAUCAACACAAUUAAUCAUUUCUUUAAUAAUCGUGCACAAACCUUAAACAACAAAUAUUGUGAGACGGAGGGAGUAAGUUUUUUUUUUGUACUUGCAUCAGGAGGCUAAUUAGUGUUCGCCAUCUCUUUAACAUCAGGAUGCUAAUUAGUGAUUAACUCAAAAUUCUUUUUGUUUCAACAAAAAAUAAAAACAAAAUUCGAAGAAGAAUUACGCUUAUGUUACUAGUGUUAGUAAAAAUCUAGCUUUAAUAUCCCAUAAGUAUAACUAAGUUGGUGUGUAUUUAUUUGUAGCCAGGUUUAAAUCCGCGACUCCACGCUUAUUCAUCCUUAAAAAGUGUCAUAUUCUAUCCAUAUCCCUGCUUAAAAAAGGUCUAAAUUACUUGUAAAUUAAGGUGACCUUUGGUUCAACACAAAAGCCUAAGUUGCCAAAAACACAGGAGUAUUGUUGUUGACACAUCUUGUUAGGCUGAGAAACACGAGUAGUUAAUUGUCGAGGAAAUACGAAAUCGGCUGCAGUUAACUACUGAGGAUUUCCUCGACACUUAACUACUGAGGAUUUCAUCGACAGUAAACUGUCGAAGCGUCCUGAAGUCAAGGCAGAGGCAAUAGCUUCAUUUCCUGAACCUGUAAUGUGUUUCAAAAACAAAACACAACAUAUGUACCUGUUUUUUUUACGCAUAAUGGUUCAAAUGGAAAAACAAAAUUGGCUCAAUUUAACAAACACUGAUUAAACGAAGAAACUAAUGAACCAAUGUCAUCAAAAUACAAACAACAUAAUGUCAUCAAAAUACAAACAUAAUGUCAUCAAAAUCCGAAAAGUAAAAAACAAGUCCUAAUCCUACUGCUGGUGCCUCCUCCUCGGCCUCUGGCCUCGCCUCUUGGUAAUGACUGGCGCGAUCCGCUGCCUAACAUCAUGCAAGGCCGCAUACAACUGCUGAGGGGUCAUGCUCAUCACCUCCUGACCCAAAACUCAUCAGCAUCGGCAACAGCGCCGCUAACCAUGUCAUAGGUAUCAGGCGAGCUUCUCGCCUCGUACCGCUCCCACUGCUAUGCAGUGAUCUGCACCUCAUUAGGAGGCCUCGGAAUAUCUCCUGGAAGAAGUGGCAAAAUCUGAGGGUGAGACACAACGGUGUACCAUCGUACAUAGGCAUCUGUCAAACGCCAUGUCUGCUCUCCUGCAUGCUCACCCCAAUCGGCCUCCUCAAGCGUGUGAGUGCGGAAGUCGACGAAAGCCUGCACAAUCUCAGCCGGCGACAGCUCUACAACAUCCGACGGAUGUCUAGGGGCGGUCUAGACGUAUCCGUACUGCCUCAAAACCCUCUCGGGCAAGUGACGGUACACCCUACGAUCACCGCACAUAAUCCAGCCUGAAUACCAGAAUACCUCCUCAAAAGCCUAGAAGUCCUUGUGUUCUUCGUACGACCUCCAGCAUACGUCAUCAAACGUAAUACGAUCAAGCAGUGACCGAUACGUGACCCCCUCUCCAUGACCCUUCUGAAGCUUCCACCUCGCCGCAACCGGUAAGUUUUCAACAUAGUUGGUGUUUGGAUCAACAACAUAAAACUUAGGAAACUGCGCCAAAAACCAUGUCUACACAAACCAAACAAAUCACAUUAAUAAAUUAUUAUGCACGGAAAAUAUAACAAAAAAAUAAAAUAUAAGUUUUCUUAAAGUGAGCAGUAUCACGCUUCCCCCAAUUUGCUUGUCUCUAGGCAUACAUGCCUCAGUUAACUCGUUGUAUAGGUAUGCAAGUGUCAUCCCUCCCCCCAUGAAUAAUUACGCAUAGCCGUCCUCCAUGGUCGUCAGAUAGACCAACUCGAUGCGUUUGUUGCUUCUAUCCUCAAACAACAAGCAUCCAACCAAGUAGAAAAGAUAACAUUUCACACCAUAAGUCCUAUCCAUCUCCAACUACUUCAGUUCCUCUGGAUCCUCUGUAUCCGCCAAAGUGUUAGCCCUACCAAGGCUAGUCGUAUAUAACUCCCUCAGCUUUGGAUAACUAAUGUACCCACCAUACUCUUUAUUGCAAAUUUUCUCUGCCUCCUUCUUCGACGCACCCAAGUGCCUCACCAGUAGUGUCUCUCCCUCAUGUCUCAGCAUAUUCUUUCGGUGGCCCAACAUCCGCCCUUCAAUCUGAAGAUGCAUAAGACAAGCGACAUCCUCCAAAGUCAUGGUCAUCUCCCCCAUGGGCAUGGGAAAAGUGCUGGUCUCAGGAUGCCACCUCUCGCAUAGAGUCAUCAGCAAAGCAUGAGGCACAGUGGGGUAGCACAAGAAAACCAAAUCAUUUAAUCCACUCUCCCUAAGCGGGUCCCAAAACCAUCUCUGAUUACUGUUUGGACGUCCGAGACUCAAAAUCUUAGCACCAUGAUUAAUCGGUUUUACAUAACGGAACUUGCGGCACUGAAAUAAUAGAAAAAUAAACAUAGUUUAAACAAUGUAAACAUUUAACUAAUAAAAUAAAACUUAACAAAUGCAAAGAAUAAAAGUUGAAAUAAAGAAAAUAUAAAUAAAAUAAUUAAACUUAAAGAAAAGAAUUAAAAAAAACACAUAUAAAAGUUGAUAUAAUAAUUAAACAAACACACAUAUAAAAAAAAUAAUUAAACAUAAAGAAAAAACAUUUAAAAAAAUUACACUUACGUUAUCUGAAUUAUACCAAAGCGGCAAUGCCACAUGAUUGGCAUAAGAGUGCAGAAGAGAUAUAUUUUCCGGUCCUCCAGAAAAGGGAGGGUCCAAAGGUAACACCUCCGGGGCAACCGCUGCUGCAAUGACAUCAUCGUAUGGUUCAUGUUGCUGCUCUGGUAUAUGAUCCUGAUCAUACCCACCAUCAGUCACAUCGUGGUGUACCUGAUCCUGAUAAUUCAGGUACUUCACCUCCUGGGUCUGGUCAGCAACCUGUGACUCUUCAGGCUGUGUAACAGCCUGAGAAGUCCCUGAACCAUAUCCCCUCCGACCUCUUCCCCUCUUUUGGAUGUGCCCGCUUUGCCUCUCCUUCCGGUGGCUUUAGGUCAUCGCACGCCUACCACCAAUCAUCUUAGAUUGAUCAAUGGGGUCCUGAUCGGUCAUAUCUACACAAAAAAAUUAAAAAAUUAACAUCAUUUUCAUAACCUAAUCAAACACAUUAAACCUAAACUAAACAUAAACAUAAUCAAACACAUUAAAAGUACAACAAUGAAUAUCAUUUCCAUAACCUAAAAUCAUUCAAUAUAAUCAUUAUUACAAUAAAAUUUAUGUCCAUCAUUUCCAUAAUAACCUAAACAUCAUUCAAUAAUUAACAUACACUUAAUCAUUUCUAUACACUUAAUCAUUUGUGUCCAUCAUAAUUUUCAUAACCUAAACUAACUAAACAAUCAAUAUACACUUAAUCAAACUAUAAUUAACAUCAUUUCUAUCAUUUCCAUAACCUAAACAAACUAAAUAAUCAAUAUAAUUUUCAUUGAGGCAUUUGAUCAAACACUUUGUGUGCAAAGUAUAAAACAUAUUCAAAUUGUGUUCAUUUGCCACCAUUCAAAGCCACAUUAUGAUUUAAACAACAUAUGCAACUACUACAUUCAUUUAUCAAUUCAUAAACUACACAUGCAAUCAUCAAAUUGUCAAUUCAUUUAUAAAACCUAACCACAUGCAAACUACUCAAAUUUUUUUAAAAACUUAACCUAAACAAAUUAACAUUAAGAUUGCAAUGAUUAAUAGUACUUACUUGUGAUAAUGUGGGGAUGAUUAACUUGCAAUUCGUGAAAAUGGAAUUUGGAGAGAAUUUUAAGAAAGGAAGAAACUGCAAAACUGUGUUUCUGCAUAUGUUCAGCACGCCUCGUCAGUUAACUACCGAGGUUUUCCUCAGCAGUUAACUGCAGUCAGAUUUUUAAUUCCUCGGCAGUUAACUGUCGAGGGAGCAAAAUCGUAUUUUACUUGUGUACCUCAAGUCUUAUAAAAUAUGUGAACAAAAUUUUCAAAUGACGGAAGAGAAAUUAAAUUACCGUGGCUCUUGUUUCAUCGCCCACUAGUCAGUGUAACAAAAAGAACCAACACUAGACGGAAAAAGAAUUAUAAAUAAAGGGUUGGAUACUUAUAUAAAAAAAAAUGUUCUAGAAAGAGUCUUUAAUUUAAUCGCCAAAGGCAUCACCUUACAUGUUUAAUCAUUUUCCCUCAAAAAAAAAAAAGUUUAAUUAUCAUUUGGUUUUGUCGUUGAUAUAUAGUAUCCAAUUGGUAGUUCUAAAUCGUCAUUCUCUUGUAGCUCUCUACAUUCUCCACUAUACUUAUAUUACCUUUCCUGUGUUUCUAGACCAGUGGUUAAUGAUGAAACGAAACAAAUUAACUUUUUCUUAAACUUUAUGUAUAUAAAUUUGGAUUGAAACUUAGCAUUAACCAAUUACACUUAUCAUCAGUAACAAAAAUAUUACUGCAAGAGAAUUUGUACCAAAGCUGUGAUCAGAUUUUGAUAAUUCUCAAUUGAAAUUGUUCAGCACAAUCUCCUUCAAAAGUAUAAUGCAUUAUUUACCAUUACACUCCAAAUUGAUCAAUUAAACUUGAUAUGGACUGAAUAUACAGCAUUUAUAAUUACUAAUAAUUAUAUGAAAAGCUUAGCAUGCAGACAUGUCGGUCACUUUCCUUUUCCUCCAAAUGUCUUCUUUUAUAUCGUGAGUAGAAAACGUAAACAGUGUGUAGCCAUAAAAAACACGUAAACAGUAUUUUCUAUACUUUAUAUUCUUUAAUUAAUUUAUAAACGACAAUUAUUUGUGCCUGAUAUAGAUAGCAUGAGAUGAGACAUAUUGAUAUUUAAUUGAACCGAUCCAUAGAAUUAGAAUUAAAUAAUAUAAACUGCUUCCUUGUCAACUUCAAUAUACAUCAGAGCAGUGCACUAGGCCUAUGCAUUUGGAGCAACUUGUGACUUGUAUCCCAAUCGAGGCAUUAGUGGUAUUAUGAGAUAUUUAUAUGUGUUUGUAUCUAGAAGGAAGGCAAUAAUUGUGUGUAUCUAGAAGGAAGGCAAAUCAGAAAAGUAUUCAUAAUAAUGCAUCACUUUGUUCCAAACAAAAAUAGCUGGCCAUUAUUUAUUUUUAAGGAGGAAAUUCAUUGUAUUUUAUUAGUUAAAAUAUGUCAAAUAUAUGAGGGUACAUCAAUAAUAUAGGUGCUAGAAUUAGAUAGGGUUGCCUGAUCUAACCCGUAAGCUACCCUAUUCGCUUGCCUCGUGUUGAACACAACAUGAGAGUUCCGAAAUCUAUUCACUAUCAACUGUUUACAAGCAGGAAUAUUACACCCAAAUUCGGUACUAUCAUCAAUGUUUGAAUUGACACUAUCAACAACUCUUUUACAAUCAAGUGCAAAAUCAACAUAUUGUCAAACUGUUGAUUAGAAAUCGAAUCCAAAGUCGUGUGCAAUCCAACAACCUCCCCUACGUCAAUAUCACAAAGAGCGGCAAAUCAAUCCAAAAGCACCAUCGUCAUCCCUAAGGCACAUGCCCAGACCAACCCUCUGAAGAGAAGCAGAAAAAGAUGCAUCAAUGUUGCAUUUAUACCUGCCAGGUGCCGGUUUCUUCAAAUUAUCCUCGUUUUGUCUUGUAGGCCGCGCCUGUGGUACAUGUGGUGUGGUGGUUUGAAUGCUGAGAGACAUGAUAGCUUGGGUUGCUCGUCAUUCUUCUAAUAGGUGGGUUGCGCGUUGAAGCACCUGCGAGUUGAUUUCAUUCUGUUGGUGCCACAAUUUCCGACUCUUCCGAAAACUCCACAUAAUUGUGGCCAUAAGCUCACGUUGACCUGAAGAAAAAUUCUGCAAAAGAGUGAAUAUGAGUGCAUGAAUAUUAUAGUCUUGACGGAGCACCCUGUCUAUUGUGUCCCAUAAAUUCACAUCCCGCCAAACUUGGACAACUUUAGAACACUCAAUGAGAAUAUGGAUGAUAUCUUCAUAGUUGUUAUUACAUUGAACACAAUCAAGUGGGCAAGAGACCCCUCUACUACUUAGACGAGCGCGUGUUGGAAAAUAACCACGACACACACGCCAAAGUAAAUUCUUAAUUUUAUGAGGCACUUUUAACUUCCAAAUGAGAUUCCAACGACCAGAAACAUGCAUGUGACAGUUGUCUGCAAUUUCAGUCACAUAUAUUCUAUAUGCACUUCUGACAUAAUACUUACCACUCUUUUCCCCUUUCCAAAUCAUUUUAUCUUCCGUUACUAGUGGCUGAAGCGGCGUGUUAAGAAUUAAAUGUGCAGUGGACGCAUCAAGUAAAUUAUGAAUUAGAUCAGGUGCCUUCCGAAUCUUUAACUCUUGAUCGAUAAAAUCACAUAAUUUCACCUGCAUCAAAGGCUCAAAAAUUGGGUUAGUCGUAGAUUAUUCUUAUUAAUUGAUUAAUUUAUUAUUGUGAUCAUGUCAAUAUUUAUCCAGACGGAGGAGUCAAGAUUUUUCUUUUGUUCUUCAAGUAGCCUAGUGGUGAAAACUCACACAUUUUAAACUUUGAUGAAAUAAGUUGUUCGGGGUUCGAACUUCAGCCUCUGCAUAUAAUAUGCAAUAUCCUUUUCAACUAAGCUAAGUUCACAGGAAUGACUCAAAAUCCUUUUUAUUUAUCUAAAUAUGUUGUUUUUAGGCAUGUAUCCAGGUUAAUUGCAUUAUUUGACAAAUAUAUAUUUAUAACUCAUCACAAUUUCAAUACAAAAUAUUCAUAAUAUCACCAUUAUUUGAAUGGUGGGUUUAUCUAAAAUAGGCCUCAAAAGACGGUUAAAGUGAAUCCAUAACACUUGACAUUGAAUGCAUUGGACAAAUGAUGGACAUCACUUUGAACCUAUAUAUGUAUCACUUUGAACAUUUUCUUAUUCAUCAUCAUGAAGUUUGACAUGUCCUUGAUAAAUCAUAAAGAUAAAAUAGCUAUAACUAAUUAGUCAAACUAAAAAUGAUUAUCCAAAUCGUAUUCUGACGAACUCUUUGGGAAUCUUGAUAAAAAGCAUCCACAAAUAUCGUGAUAGAUCAAGAAUAAAUACUAACUACUCCGCUGUGAUUAUUUAAAAAUCAUCUUCCUAAUUUUCAGAACAAUAAAGACAUAAACUAUAUAUCCUUGAAUCUCAAAAUUUCACCAUCACUUUCUCUAAACUCAUUCUCUUUUCCUUGAGCAAUUUGUUUUAUUCACUUCUUCAGGUCUUGGUCAUACUCUUGAUCCUUCUUGAUGUGUUCCAUCAAAUUAUUCGUAAUCUUUAACAUCCUAAGCUUGUACAUGCAUUUAGUUCAAAGCCUAAACCUAAUCCUUAAUUACGCUUAAAUUUAAUUCAAAUUUUAUACAUGCAUGAAGUACGCUUAAUAUAAGGCGAGUGGGACGCGUAAAGUGUAAACCGAACUCUCUUCCAUCCCCCAUGUGCAAUUAGAUUCAGUUGUCUCUCAAGUUAACUCAUCGCACUUAUGUAACAUUCCGGCGGGCUAUCUCACAUGACAUAGCGAGUAAUAUUGUACCACGUGUUGCUUCUUCUUUUUUUUGGUUAAUUAAGUUUGGCUUAAUACAUGUUUUGGUUUCUUAACUUAUUUUUGAAUUUCAAUUUCGUCCCUUAACUUUAAACUGUCUCAAUUUAGUCCCUAAGUAUACAUAUGUUUGUCCAACUGGUCCUUUCUAUUAGUUUUGUCAAAAAACGUUAACUUUGUCCAUGUUGCAUGGACAAAAUUAACGUUCUUUUGAAAAAUACUAACAGAAAGGACCACUUGGGUAAACGGAAGUAUACUUAGGGGACCACAUUGAGACAGUUUAAAGUUAGGAGACCAAAUUAAAAUCCAAAAAUAAGUUAAAGGACCAAAUCAUAUAUUAAGCCAUUAAGUUUUUAGUCCUUAUAAAUAUUCACAGUUUUGUUUUAGGAUGACACAUUAAUUAAUUAUAUUGAAUCCAUGAUACAAAUUGCUACAAAAAAAGAAGUUUUUCAUUGUAUGUAAAAAUCAAUUUUAAGAUCAAAAGUUAUAAAUCUUGCUUCAAGUAAAAUCAAUGUUGAGGCAUAGUCAAUUUUACGAUUGUAAAUGUAUCAAAAUCAAUUUUACACUUCAAUCAAUUUUGUUCCUUUUAAAAGUGAAACCAACUUAUAAAGUUAAUUUGAGUGAUAAAAUUGUUAUAAAUUUAGGUCUUAAUAAAAAUAGAUUUCAUAAAAUAUGUUCAACAAUUAUGAAUUAUAGCGGAAACAUUUUUGAUUUAAGGAUAUUAAGAAUUAGGGUAUUAGGAAUACCUGAAUUAUGCUUUCAUGACAACCAUCUCAACAGCAACACGAAAGAGAGGAGAUGAUCUGAAACAAAUUGAAGGGGUUAGCGACGGCUGAUUUGGUUCUUCCUCAACCGAUACGAGUUUUAUCGUGUAUGGUGUAUUGCGGACCAUAACCUUUUUUAUUUUGAAGUCAUUAGGGUUUUCCAUUUUCCAUUAUUCCGUUAAUGGGUCAUCUGCAUAUCCACUUAUUGGAUCCAUAUCAAUUAAUUAAAUAUUUAAUAAAUUAUCUAAUUAGAAAUUUAAUCGUCUUAUCACUUAAUUUGAUCACUAAUCAAUUAAGACCCACAGUUGAUAAAUAGCUAAUAUAAUUAUUAUUACAAUGAUAUCGGAAUAUAAUUAAAUAAUAAAAUAUUUUAACAAAAAUAACUAGUUGAUUCAUUACUAAUUACUAAAUAUGAAAAGGAUGUUUAAUUAGGAAUACUUAACCAGCAAACAAAGCAUCAAACUGUAGAAAAAGUAGCAGGAUGGUAAAGCCAGGUACAAUCUGAGUCAGCACGUAUCGCCCAUUGGAUAAGUUCUUUGUGUGCUCCGCAAAAUAACAAUCACAACACAAACCACGGCAUUUUUUCACUCUGGGACCCACACGUUCUCCUUUCUUUGUAUAAAACCAAUCCUAACCCCAAUUUCAUUUCUCCUCAUUCUCAAAUCUCAUAACGAACAUUUUCAUCACAAACAUGCUUUCCUCCAUAUCUCUUCCUUCUUCUCUCUACGCCGCCGGUAACUUCUCCGGCGCCACCGUAACACCACCACCGUGCCGCGUCAGAUCGAAGCCAAUACUCAUCACCGCAAGCGCUACAGCAACUGCGGAAGCUCGCUCUACAUGGACAGAGCAACAAAGACCUUCGUAUUUAAACAUGAACUCUUUUUCUUACUCUUCUCCUGGAUCACACUAUGAGAUCCUCGGUAUAUCAGCAGGUGCUUCGAAUCAAGAAAUCAAGGCGGCCUACCGGCGACUUGCAAGAGUCUGCCACCCUGAUGUGGCGGCGAUUGAUCGGAAAAACUCAUCGGCGGAUGAUUUCAUGAAGAUUCACUCUGCAUAUUCGACGCUUUCGGAUCCAGAUAAACGUGCUAAUUAUGAUCGGAGUCUUUUCCGGCAACAACGACGGCCGUUGUCGACGAUGGUGUCUUCCGGCUACUCAAGUCGCAAAUGGGAGACCGAUCAGUGUUGGUAGUGAGUUGACUCAUCCGAGUGAAUUUUGAAUUUACUAACAGAUGAGGCAGUUGC